rnacentral:rRNA from 1 species
UGCUCCUCUGAUCAGUGGCGAACGGGUGAGUAACACGUGAGCAACCUGCCCCAGACUCUGGGAUAACAGUUGGAAACAGCUGCUAAUACCGGAUACGAGACGGAGAGGCAUCUCUACCGUCUGGAAAGUUUUUCGGUCUGGGAUGGACUCGCGGCCUAUCAGCUAGUUGGUGAGGUAAUGGCUCACCAAGGCGACGACGGGUAGCCGGCCUGAGAGGGCGACCGGCCACACUGGGACUGAGACACGGCCCAGACUCCUACGGGAGGCAGCAGUGGGGAAUAUUGCACAAUGGGCGAAAGCCUGAUGCAGCGACGCCGCGUGAGGGAUGAAGGCCUUCGGGUUGUAAACCUCUUUCAGCAGGGAAGAAGCGAAAGUGACGGUACCUGCAGAAGAAGCACCGGCUAACUACGUGCCAGCAGCCGCGGUAAUACGUAGGGUGCGAGCGUUGUCCGGAAUUAUUGGGCGUAAAGAGCUUGUAGGCGGUUUGUCGCGUCUGCAGUGAAAAUCCGGGGCUCAACCUCGGACUUGCUGUGGGUACGGGCAGACUAGAGUAUGGUAGGGGAGACCGGAAUUCCUGGUGUAGCGGUGGAAUGCGCAGAUAUCAGGAGGAACACCGAUGGCGAAGGCAGGUCUCUGGGCCAUAACUGACGCUGAGAAGCGAAAGCAUGGGGAGCGAACAGGAUUAGAUACCCUGGUAGUCCAUGCCGUAAACGUUGGGCGCUAGGUGUGGGGCUCAUUCCACGAGCUCCGUGCCGCAGCUAACGCAUUA